UACAACUUUCAACAACGGAUCUCUUGCGUCUCGCAUCGAUGAAGAACGCAGCGAAAUGCGAUAAGUAAUGUGAAUUGCAGAAUUCAGUGAAUCAUCGAAUCUUGAACGCACCUGCGCUCUG
rnacentral:rRNA from 1 species